ensembl:lncRNA
UUUUUUCUCACCUGUCCGACUGACUCCUCUCACCAGCUCCCAUUUCGCUUUAAUUUUUGAUCUUAUCUCUACUUCUUUUUUUCUUCUGUCCUCUUCUCAUAUCCUCUGCCACCUCUUUUGCUUCCUCACACCUUUUCCUUCAUCUGUGACUAUCCCUAACACCCCCAGCCCCUUCAUUUGUUUCCUUCUUCUCCUUCUUUUCUUCCUUUACCUUCUCCUCUCUUUGCUUUUCUCUUGUGUCUUUCUUCAUCUUCCUCCUUUUCUUCCUCCCAUUGCGUACACUCAUUUUCUCAUCCAUCCUGUCUUACCCUCCCUCUCUGAAGCACCCACCUUCACGUCCUACUCCCUCUUCCUCCUCCUCCUCCUCCUCUGCCCGGCAUGACGUGGGACCAGAUCAAGGAACUGUGUUGCCGGGAGUAACAGGGAUUGAGAGCGGCGCGUUGGAAUGCGACUCCAGCCGAGUCCCUGAGAACAGGAGGAGGAGGAGGAGGAGGGAAGAGGUCGAGAGCAAGUAUUUCUACUUUAUCCCCGCACAGUGUUCCCCCAGUUCUUUUUUCUUUCUUUUUCGUUUCUUCUUGACCUUUAUUGCCCUGUUUUUUUGUUUUUUAUUCUCUAAAUGUGUCUCGUUUGUAGACAUACUAAUUUUCUUCCCUUUCGCUUCCCACUUAAUUUAAGGAAAGCAGGUGCCAAGGACUCCUUCUUUGCUGAUCGGUCUCUCCCUGUCUGCUCAGUAAUGUGUCUCUUCCCUCAUCUUUUGCCUUACAGAUAGAUAGAUAUAGAUAUAUAGAUAUAGAUAUAUAUAGAUAUAGAUAUAUAUAGAUAGAUAGAGAUAUAUCUUCCAUGUGAAGUCUGACUUUGGGGGGCUUGUGUUUAUCAGGCGUCAGUUGGGCUGUACACUCAUCUGUCUGUUUGUCUGGCUGUUCGCAGUGUAAAUGGCAGUGAAAGAGGUAGAGGGAGAGAGAGAGGGCAAACACACGGAGAUGCAAACCCACAUAUUCACACAUUCUCUUGCUCCAGCACACACGCACGCACACACACACACACUCUACUUUAUCAGCAGAAUGAAAGUGCUUUCUGGCAGUAUUUGAAUGAGACAGAAAAGAGCCCUAUUCAGCCCCUCUGCCUGGCUUUUAUUAACACUGCGCGUCACUGAGGCGACAUAAGCCUCCCCUCCCUCGCACCCUCUCUGUUGCAGACAGACACACUCACACACACAGACAUGCGCACACACACACACACAUAAACAGAGGGAGGUCUCCUGUUCAGGUAUGAUGAUGCCUCCUCCUCGCUUUCC